ensembl:lncRNA
GGAUCAUACUUAUACCCCAGCCCAAACACACCACGCGCUUGGUCGGUUUGCCCACCGGCGCUGCGAGAGUCACCGCGGAGGAGAGAGUUUUCUAAAAGCCCACAUCCAGCAGGGGUUUGGUGAAGACAGUAUCGGCUUCCUGUGUUGUCCAGGCCAUCAGAGCUAAUUGCCCAGCAUAAGAUGGGCAGUACCGUGGCUACCAGGAGACAGUAGAUGCUCAAGAUGAGCUGUGACUAUUUUUACCCUAGCAAACGCACCCUACCCAUUUGUAAAUAGUUCAUAUUUUUCAUGAAUAAAACUUCAAAUUCA